rnacentral:ncRNA from 1 species
AUAAAACCGAUGAUCGAGAAUAGUAACUGAGAGAACCACUUGGAUAAGAGAGGAAAUGCCGCGGCUGAAAGCAUUCUGCAAAGUGCCUUAGUGAAUGAACACUCGGGAAGGUUUCGCUCUGAACGACUACUAGUAGGAGAUGAACGUACCAGGCGUUAACUGGCUCAAGUGGAGGUCUUUUCAGGCCUCAAUUAGGGUGGCACCACGGGAUAACAGCUCUCGUCCCUUGU